rnacentral:siRNA from 1 species
ACACCCGGCGUGUAACCUCCUGAU